UACGGGGGGAGCAAGCGUUGUUCGGAUUCAUUGGGCGUAAAGGGUGCGUAGGCGGCGCGGUAAGUCGGGUGUGAAAUCUUGAGGCUUAACUCCGAAACUGCAUUCGAUACUGCCGUGCUUGAGGACUGGAGAGGAGACUGGAAUUUACGGUGUAGCGGUGAAAUGCGUAGAUAUCGUAAGGAAGACCAGUGGCGAAGGCGGGUCUCUGGACAGUUCCUGACGCUGAGGCACGAAGGCCAGGGGAGCAAACGGG
rnacentral:rRNA from 1 species